rnacentral:lncRNA from 10 species
GAGGAGACCAUGUGAAGACACAGUCAGGAUGAGACCAGCUACAGACCACAGAGGGAGGCCUUGGAAGAAGUCAAUCCUGCCGACACAUUGAUCCAGGACUUCUUGCCUCCAGAGCGAAACCGUGGAACCAAAAUGCCAUGAGACAAAUGAUCAUGAUCCUUCUGAUGGAAAAACUUUCCAUUCCAGUAAAAAUGUCUAAGGUCCUCAUCAAGUGCAGAAUGAAGUGCAAUCUCCCUAGCACACACUCGAGAGUCUUCAGUCGUCUUACUCCUGCGCACUUCUUCAAUUUAAACCUCUACCAUGACUUUUCCCUUACUCCAUUCUCUUGGAACCCGAAACAUCUUCACCCAGACUAUGCUCUGUUGGCUUUGGGUAUUUUAUGUGUAUUUAGUAACCACUAUGCAGGAGAAGAAUUAGCAAAAGCAAUUACUAGAAUAUUUUAAUUACAAUCCUAUCAAAGACAAACUUUGGUUUAACUGCAGUAUGUUUUCUUAUUUGAAGUGCAAACAGACAAAGAGAGAAAAUUCAUGCUUGAAUUUUCACAGAUACAUUUGGAUUUCACAUUCUGUUUUUUAAAAGCAGAAAUGUGGACUGGUUGAUAGCAAUAAUUAGAGCACUGGGCUUUUAUAAGAUUUUUGUUUUCAGUUUUGAAUGUUAU